GUCGUAACAAGGUUUCCGUAGGUGAACCUGCGGAAGGAUCAUUACCACACCGAUCCAAACGAUCAACAUUCCUGUGAACUUGUGUCUGUGUCUUUUUUUCUUGCUUCUCUGUUGGUGUGUUGUGUUGUGUGCAGCAGCAUACACAUACUCACUGAUAGCAGUAGCAACAACAACACAUAAAACGACUUUUAUGAACUUGAUUAUUCUGAAACUGAGAGCGUCUGUCUGUGCCUCUUGUCUUUUCAGUCUGGUGGGUGGGUGGUGGUGUUCUCGCAACAUCAACAGCCGCCAACCAGCAAAGUCAAGCCAGGAGCCAACAGCGCGCCAUUGUAUCAAAAACUGAAAACAACUUUCAGCGAUGGAUAUCUUGGCUCUC
rnacentral:misc_RNA from 1 species